rnacentral:rRNA from 1 species
AGUCGCGCGGCGUAGACCCGAAACCGGGUGAUCUAUCCAUGGCCAGGGUGAAGGCACCCUAACCGGUGCUGGAGGCCCGAACCCACUACUGUUGCAAAAGUAGGGGAUGAGCUGUGGAUAGGGGUGAAAGGCUAAACAAACCCGGAAAUAGCUGGUUCUCCCCGAAAGCUAUUGAGGUAGCGCGUCGCAUGGACACUUGCGGGGGUAGAGCACUGUCAUCGUUGGGGGGGUCAUUGCGAUCUACCCCGCGAUAGCAAACUCCGAAUACCGCAACGUGAUGUGCGGCAGACAGACACCGGGUGCUAACGUCCGGUGUCAAGAGGGAAACAACCCAGACCGCCAGCUAAGGCCCCCAAUGCGUGGCUAAGUGGGAAACGAAGUGGGAAGGCGAAGACAGCUAGGAGGUUGGCUUAGAAGCAGCCACCCUUUAAAGAAAGCGUAAUAGCUCACUAGUCGAGUCGUCCUGCGCGGAAGAUGUAACGGGGCUCAAGCCACGAGCCGAAGCUGCGGAUGCGUGCCCUCGGGCACGCGUGGUAGGGGAGCGUUCGGUAAGCCUGCGAAGGUGGCCCGAGAGGGCUGCUGGAGGUAUCCGAAGUGCGAAUGCUGACAUGAGUAGCGAUAAAACGGGUGAAAAGCCCGUUCGCCGAAAGCCCAAGGGUUCCGACGCAACGUUCAUCGGCGUCGGGUCAGUCGGCCCCUAAGGCGAGGCCGAAAGGCGUAGUCGAUGGGAAACGGGUCAACAUUCCCGUACCAUCCUGUAAUGCGAUGGGGGGACGAAGAAGGCUAAGUGGGUCGGGUGUUGGACGUCCCGAUUCAAGCCCGUAGCCUGGCGCGGUAGGCAAAUCCGCCGCGCUAAAGGUGAGAGGUGAUGACGAGGGUGAGCUGCGGCUUGCCCAAGCCACCGACGCCCCGCUUCCAGGAAAAGCCUCUAAGCUUCAGUUACAGGAUGACCGUACCGCAAACCGACACAGGUGGGCUGGUGUCAAAGCACCAAGGCGCUUGAGAGAACCCAGGAGAAGGAACUCGGCAAAUUGACACCGUAACUUCGGGAGAAGGUGUGCCCCAAGUAGGUGAGUCUGCACGCCAGACGAGCCCAAAGGGGUCGCAGAGAAUCGGGGGCUGCGACUGUUUAUUAAAAACACAGCACUCUGCCAAGACGAAAGUCGACGUAUAGGGUGUGACGCCUGCCCGGUGCCGGAAGGUUAAGUGAUGGGGUGCAAGCUCCUGAUCGAAGCCCCGGUAAACGGCGGCCGUAACUAUAACGGUCCUAAGGUAGCGAAAUUCCUUGUCGGGUAAGUUCCGACCUGCACGAAUGGCGUAACGAUGGCCCCACUGUCUCCUCCUGGGACUCAGCGAAAUUGAAAUGGUUGUGAAGAUGCAAUCUCCCCGCGGCUAGACGGAAAGACCCCAUGAACCUUUACUGUAGCUUUGCAUUGGACUUUGAUGUGGCCUGUGUAGGAUAGGUGGGAGGCUGAGAAACCGGGGCGCCAGCUCCGGCGGAGCCGCCCUUGAAAUACCACCCUGGUCACCUCGAGGUUCUAACCGCGCACCGUACAUCCGGUGCCGGGACCGUGCAUGGCAGGCAGUUUGACUGGGGCGGUCUCCUCCCAAAAGGUAACGGAGGAGCACGAAGGUACGCUUGGCACGGUCGGAAAUCGUGCUGUAUGUGCAAGGGCAUAAGCGUGCUUGACUGUGAGGCCGACGAGCCGAACAGGUGCGAAAGCAGGUCCUAGUGAUCCGGUGGUUCUGUAUGGAAGGGCCAUCGCUCAACGGAUAAAAGGUACUCUGGGGAUAACAGGCUGAUACCGCCCAAGAGUUCACAUCGACGGCGGUGUUUGGCACCUCGAUGUCGGCUCAUCUCAUCCUGGGGCUGUAGUCGGUCCCAAGGGUAUGGCUGUUCGCCAUUUAAAGAGGUACGUGAGCUGGGUUUAAAACGUCGUGAGACAGUUUGGUCCCUAUCUGCCGUGGGCGCUGGAAGUUUGAGGGGAUCUGCUCCUAGUACGAGAGGACCGGAGUGGACGCACCUCUGGUGUACCGGUUGUGACGCCAGUCGCAUCGCCGGGUAGCUAUGUGCGGAAGGAAUAACCGCUGAAAGCAUCUAAGCGGGAAAUCCCCCCCAAGAUGAGACUUCCCCGGGGGCUCGACCCCCCUGAAGGGCCGUGGAAGACCACCACGUCGAUAGGGCGCAGGUGUAAGGCGGGUAACCGCUUGAGCUGAGCGCUACUAAUUGCCCGUGCGGCUUGAUC